GUGGGGAAUCUUAGACAAUGGGGGGAACCCUGAUCCAGCCAUGCCGCGUGUGUGAAGAAGGCCUUUUGGUUGUAAAGCACUUUAAGCGAGGAGGAGGCUACCGAGAUUAAUACUCUUGGAUAGUGGACGUUACUCGCAGAAUAAGCACCGGCUAACUCUGUGCCAGCAGCCGCGGUAAUACAGAGGGUGCAAGCGUUAAUCGGAUUUACUGGGCGUAAAGCGCGCGUAGGUGGCCAAUUAAGUCAAAUGUGAAAUCCCCGAGCUUAACUUGGGAAUUGCAUGCGAUACUGGUUGGCUAGAGUAUGGGAGAGGAUGGUAGAAUUCCAGGUGUAGCGGUGAAAUGCGUAGAGAUCUGGAGGAAUACCGAUGGCGAAGGCAGCCAUCUGGCCUAAUACUGACACUGAGGUGCGAAAGCAUGGGGAGCAAACAGGAUUAGAAACCCGGGUAGUCC
rnacentral:rRNA from 1 species